UGGCUCAGGACGAACGCUGGCGGCGUGCUUAACACAUGCAAGUCGAGCGAGGCCCUCCUUCGGGGGGUGCCCUAGCGGCGAACGGGUGAGUAACACGUGGGCAACCUGCCCUCAGCUCUGGGAUAACUCCAAGAAAUUGGUGCUAAUACCGGAUGUGACCGCUGACCGCAUGGUCUGGUGGUGGAAAGAUUCAUCGGCUGAGGAUGGGCCCGCGGCCUAUCAGCUUGUUGGUGGGGUAAUGGCCCACCAAGGCGACGACGGGUAGCCGGCCUGAGAGGGUGACCGGCCACACUGGGACUGAGACACGGCCCAGACUCCUACGGGAGGCAGCAGUGGGGAAUAUUGCGCAAUGGGCGAAAGCCUGACGCAGCGACGCCGCGUGAGGGAUGACGGCCUUCGGGUUGUAAACCUCUUUCAGUAGGGACGAAGCGCAAGUGACU
rnacentral:rRNA from 1 species